GACGUAGGGCGCGAGCGUUGUCCGGAUUUAUUGGGCGUAAAGAGCUCGUAGGCGGUGUGUCACGUCGGCCGUGAAAACCUGCAGCUUAACUGUGGGCGUGCGGUCGAUACGGGCAUCACUGGAGUUCGGCAGGGGAGACUGGAAUUCCUGGUGUAGCGGUGAAAUGCGCAGAUAUCAGGAGGAACACCGAUGGCGAAGGCAGGUCUCUGGGCAUUAACUGACGCUGAGGAGCGAAAGCAUGGGGAGCGAACAGG
rnacentral:rRNA from 1 species